AUGCUCGCUUCAGUAGCACAUAUACUAAAAUUGGAUGAUACCGAGAAGAUUAGCGUGGCCCCUGCACAAGGGUGACAUGCAAAUUCAUAAAGUGUUCCAUAUUUUU
ensembl:snRNA U6 U6 spliceosomal RNA